ACGGGAGGCAGCAGUGGGGAAUAUUGCACAAUGGGGGAAACCCUGAUGCAGCGACGCCGCGUGAGUGAAGAAGUAUUUCGGUAUGUAAAGCUCUAUCAGCAGGGAAGAUAAUGACGGUACCUGACUAAGAAGCACCGGCUAAAUACGUGCCAGCAGCCGCGGUAAUACGUAUGGUGCAAGCGUUAUCCGGAUUUACUGGGUGUAAAGGGUGCGUAGACGGCAUGGCAAGUCUGAAGUGAAAGCCUGGGGCUCAACCCCGGAACUGCUUUGGAAACUGUUAAGCUAGAGUGCAGGAGAGGUAAGUGGAAUUCCUAGUGUAGCGGUGAAAUGCGUAGAUAUUAGGAGGAACACCAGUGGCGAAGGCGGCUUACUGGACUGUAACUGACGUUGAGGCUCGAAAGCGUGGGGAGCAAACAGGAUUAGAUACCCUGGUA
rnacentral:rRNA from 1 species